UUACGCAGCCAUAUCACGUUGAAAGCACCGGGGUUCCAGUUCGAUCACUGAAGUUAAACAACGUCGGGCCUAGUUAGUACAAGGUACUUAUAUAAGUGGCUGCUCGGGAAACCUUGGUACUGGAAGC
rnacentral:rRNA from 1 species